rnacentral:rRNA from 1 species
UACGUAGGGGCAAGCGUUGUCCGGAAUUAUUGGGCGUAAAGCGCGCGCAGGCGGUCUCUUAAGUCUGAUGUGAAAUCUCGCAGCUUAACUGUGAGCGGUCAUUGGAAACUGAGGGACUUGAGGACAGGUGAGGAGAGUGGAAUUCCACGUGUAGCGGUGAAAUGCGUAGAGAUGUGGAGGAACACCAGUGGCGAAGGCGACUCUCUAGUCUGUAUCUGACGCUGAGGUGCAAAAGCGUGGGUAGCAAACA